UACGUAGGGGGCAAGCGUUGUCCGGAAUCAUUGGGCGUAAAGAGCGUGUAGGCGGCCAGAAAAGUCCGCUGUGAAAACUCGAGGCUCAACUUCGAGCUGUCGGUGGAAACUUUCUGGCUAGAGUCCGGGAGAGGAGAAUGGAAUUCCUGGUGUAGCGGUGAAAUGCGCAGAUAUCAGGAAGAACACCCGUGGCGAAGGCGGUUCUCUGGGACGGUACUGACACUGAGGAGCGAAAGCGUGGGUAGCAAACAGG
rnacentral:rRNA from 1 species